CAACAGGGAUGCCCUAGUAACGGCGAGUGAAGCGGCAACAGCUCAAUUUGAAAUCUGGCUCUCGGGCCCGAGUUGUAAUUUGUAGAGGAUACUUUUGAUGCGGUGCCUUCCGAGUUCCCUGGAACGGGACGCCAUAGAGGGUGAGAGCCCCGUCUGGUUGGAUGCCAAAUCUCUGUAAAGUUCCUUCAACGAGUCGAGUAGUUUGGGAAUGCUGCUCUAAAUGGGAGGUAUAUGUCUUCUAAAGCUAAAUACCGGCCAGAGACCGAUAGCGCACAAGUAGAGUGAUCGAAAGAUGAAAAGCACUUUGAAAAGAGAGUUAAAAAGUACGUGAAAUUGUUGAAAGGGAAGCGUUUAUGACCAGACUUGGGCUUGGUUAAUCAUCUGGGGUUCUCCCCAGUGCACUUUUCCAGUCCAGGCCAGCAUCAGUUUUCCCCGGGGGAUAAAGGCGGCGGGAAUGUGGCUCUCUUCGGGGAGUGUUAUAGCCCACCGUGUAAUACCCUGGGGGGGACUGAGGUUCGCGCAUCUGCAGGAUGCUGGCGUAAUGGUCAUCAACGACCCGUCUUGAAACACGGACCAGGGAGUCGUCUUCGUAUGCGAGUGUUCGGGUGUCAACCCCUACGCGUAAUGAAGUGAACGCAGUGAGAGCUUCGGCGCAUCAUCGACCGAUCCUGAUGUUCUCGGAUGGAUUUGAGUAGAGCAUACGGGGCCGGACCCGAAAGAAGGUGA
rnacentral:rRNA from 1 species